CUCACAGGUCACUCAGUGCCUCAAAAACUUCAACUUGACAUUUCGAGCUGACGAAGUUUACAUUUUGAGGUUGUUUGAGGACGUUGUGCUCAGUUGGUUCGUGGGGGUACCAGGAGCCACAGAAAAUGCCCCAGACCGACAAUGGCCUAUUAUGGACGAGUGCCCAAACCCAUAGUCCAGUGUUUCCCAAACUCGGUCCUGGUUUUUGCCCCUUUCACUACACAGCUGAUUGAAAUGAGCAUCAAUCUUUGAUCAUUUGAAUCAGCUGUGUAGGUAAAAAUCAAAACGUGCACCCCCCGUUUGGGAAACGAUGCCAUAGUCACCCAGUGACUCUCUCAGUGAUGGCCCAGGGUCCUGUGGUGAACCAGAGACUGUGGUGAUGGCCCAAGGUCCUGUGGUGAACCAGACACUGUGGUGAUGGCCCAGGGUCCUGUGGUGAACCAGACACUGUGGUGAUGGCCCAGGGUCCUGUGGUAAACCAGACACUGUGGUGAUGGCCCAGGGUCCUGUGGUGAACCAGACACUGUGGUGAUGGCCCAGGGUCCUGUGGUGAACCAGACACUGUGGUGAUGGCCCAGGGUCCUGUGGUGAACCAGACACCGUGGUGAUGGCCCAGGGUCCUGUGGUGAACCAGACACCGUGGUGAUGGCCCAGGGUCCUGUGGUGAACCAGACACCGUGGUGAUGGCCCAGGGUCCUGUGGUGAACCAGACACCGUGGUGAUGGCCCAGGGUCCUGUGGUGAACCAGACACCGUGGUGAUGGCCCAGGGUCCUGUGGUGAACCAGACACUGUGGUGAUGGCCCAAGGUCCUGUGGUGAACCAGACACCGUGGUGAUGGCCCAGGGUCCUGUGGUGAACCAGACACCGUGGUGAUGGCCCAGGGUCCUGUGGUGAACCAGACACUGUGGUGAUGGCCCAGGGUCCUGUGGUGAACCAGACACCGUGGUGAUGGCCCAGGGUCCUGUGGUGAACCAGACACCGUGGUGAUGGCCCAGGGUCCUGUGGUGAACCAGACACCGUGGUGAUGGCCCAAGGUCCUGUGGUGAACCAGAUA